GGUAAAAUGCCAAGCACACAGAUUUGAUCCUCCCAUAAGAUAACGGGAGAAAUUAAUUAGGCAAAUCUGAUCCUGAAGACACGAGUUGAAAAGCGCCGUCAUGCAUAUACGAGGAAGAAGAUAAAUGGGGAUAAAUUAUUGGGUGCAGUCAGGGAUGUCAAUCUAGCCCGAAACCCGUGGAUUGGCCCGAUUAACCCGCCACCCAAGAGGAGUAGGGAAAUGAUGCAAAUCAGAGGAAUCGACUCCACUAGCGGAAUAAGUAUGGCAGAGGAAACGCACUCGUCAGAGGAAAUCAUCCUCGCCAGAGGGACCUUACUCACUAAAGGCAUCUUAUACACUAGAGAAGUCACCCUCGCCAGAGAAGUCAUCUUCGCCAGAGAAGUAACUCUCACCAGAGGAGCCGUCUUCAUCAGCGGAAUCGCCAGAGACGCGGGAGAUUUCCCGCGUGAAGGCAAAUUUACCGACAUGCCCCUCUAUCACGCCAAGUGCACGCCUUAGCAUUGAUUUUACCAUUUUGCCCUCUUAUGUAGUCUAUAAAUAGAACCUGAGCUCAUACAUUGUAACUACGCUAUCUCUUAUUUUCGAAUACAACAGCUACUUUUCUCC